CCUACGGGUGGCUGCAGUGGGGAAUUUUGCGCAAUGGACGAAAGUCUGACGCAGCAACGCCGCGUGGGUGAUGAAGGUCUUCGGAUCGUAAAACCCUGUCGUCAGGGACGAAGGUUGCAUGUCUAAUAGAUGUGCAGCUUGACGGUACCUGGAGAGGAAGCCCCGGCUAACUCUGUGCCAGCAGCCGCGGUAAUCCAGAGGGGACAAGCUUGAUUCGGAAUUAGUGGGCGUAAUGGGCGCGUAGGCGGGUGUAAUCCCCGAGCUGAACUUGGGAACUGCAUCUCAGACUGGGGCGCUAGAGUGCUGGAGAGGGGGGUGGAAUUCCACGUGUAGCGGUGAAAUGCGUAGAGAUGUGGAGGAACACCAGUGGCGAAGGCGGCCACCUGGACAGUAACUGACGCUGAGGCGCGAAAGUGUGGGGAGCAAACAGGAUUAGAUACCCCGGUAGUC
rnacentral:rRNA from 1 species